UAUUGAAAAAAAUUAAGGGGACAAUUGCUCUCUUCUGUACCCACGUGGCCGCCACUGAGACUGUAAUUAUACAUGUCUGAGCGAAAAAGAGGCUUUUAGGCGUGGGUUUUGAAACUGUGUCGAUAACCUGAUUGGGCUGAUUUUAGUUGAAUGCAUAGGUUAGGUGGGGUUGCAGUGUUGGGUGUUGUUAGCUGUUGUCUCUAAGGAACACAACGUGUGCAUAUGUUGAAGAACUGCUGAUAUUCCUUCACAACAAGUGAUACCGAUGCUGAACCUCGCUGAUGGAAAUGGGUAAGAUUUCUUGGCGACUGAAGAGAAUGAGAAAACAUUCCAUCUUUUGUCUGUAUAUAAUUGGAAAAGCUCAUUAUGAACUUCAAUUUUUAAACAAUACAAUUCAGGUUAUUGUUAAUCAAAUAUUGUUAAGGAUGUUUAUGUUCUCUACAUCCCAGGGAAAGUGAAGGCUUAUUUCAGUAUGGUACCACCACAGAGAAGCUGAGGAUUUACGUGUUGUGGUUCAACAUUUUCAUGGGGAGAAACGUGAGAUAAUUGGACAUAGUAAAGGUCCAUUUUCUUCGUUGCUAAGUGUCUACAAAAUGAAAGAACAAAAAAUAAAUAAAUGAAAUUAGACAGCAUUUUGGAAAUAUGUGGAUUUUGAGUGGAGCACUUUGUAGCGAGCUAUAGAUGUAAUUUUACAUGAAAAUUUCUGUAUAUUAGAAUUUUUAUUUUCUCUUACAUAGUCUUUUGUUGGCAUUCAAAUAGCAUCAAUGUUUGCCUUUUUUUUAUCAUGAAAAUUCUCUAUAUUAA